rnacentral:misc_RNA from 1 species
UUUCUCAAGAAGCCCAAGCCUCCCACUGGUGUUAUUGCGGGCGCUAGGGAUGGCCUCUCUUCCGAGAGUAUUUCCCGCUUCCUAUUGCCCGCCUCUGAGUGUGAAUUUACUCUCAAUUCGGUGUUGGAAGAGCUGCAGAAAGAUCCUUGGACUGUUCCACCUGUUCCGCCUGAUGAGCGGGCUGCCAGGUGUACUGGCACGGCUCUUUGUGUGGCGGCCAGCUUAUUAGGAGCUUGUGUUCCUGGGUCUGGAGCUCGAAUUAUGGCAUUCAUUGGUGGUCCAUCCACUGAAGGACUCGGUGCUAUCGUGUCAAAGAAUCUCUCUGAACCAAUUCGUUCUCACAAGGACCUGGAUAAAGAAUCUGCUCCCCUUUAUCAUAAAGCUGUGAAGUUCUACGAAGGACUUGCAAAGCAGCUUGUGCAUCAAGGCCACGUACUUGAUCUGUUUGCAUGUGCUCUUGACCAGGUGGGGGUUGCUGAACUUAAAGUUGCAGUUGAAAAA